rnacentral:rRNA from 1 species
GACGAACGCUGGCGGCGUGCUUAACACAUGCAAGUCGAACGAGUGGCGAACGGGUGAGUAAUACGUUGGUAACCUGCCCUCUCUUUGGGAUAAGCCUUGGAAACGGGGUAUAAUACCGACUAUGGGUGGAUGGGCUCGCGGCCUUUGAGUUGGUUGGUGGGGUGAUGGCCUACCAAGGCGGUGACGGGUAGCCGGCCUGGUCGGGUGGCCGGCCAUAUUGGGAGUGAGAGAGGGCUCAGAGUGCUACGAGUUGGAGCAGUGGGGGAUAUUGCACAAUGGGGGAAAGCCUGAUGCGGCGACGCGGAGGGGGGGAUGAAGGCUUUCGGGUUGUAAGCCUCUUUCGCUAUCGAACGGGUAGGUGGAGAAGAAGCGCCGGCUAACUACGUGCCAGCAGCCGCGGUAAUUC